rnacentral:misc_RNA from 1 species
AACGCACGAGACCUGCGGACCUGCGGAAGGAUCAUUAAUGAGAAGCUGCCCCUCGUGGGCAGACCUCCCACCCUCUGUGAACUUACCUUUGUUGCUUUGGCAGGCCCGUCCUCUGGACCGCCGGCUUCGGCUGGCCCGUGCCUGCCAGAGGAUUCCAAACCCUGUCUGUCAGUGUUGUCUGAGUCUAUAUGAAAUCGUUAAAACUUUUAACAACGGAUCUCUAGAUCGGAAGAGCACACG